rnacentral:ncRNA from 1 species
GUAAAUGCGUUGACCAAGACGAGUAUGUAAAAAUAUUCUGACAGAGAGAAGAACAGUUGUUGAGAGUUUCUUCCUGAUAAGUUUUACAGAAAACCACUUGCGAGUGUGAAACAGAACAGUGAUCAGUAAACAGUGAUCAGUUAGUAAGUGAAACGGGUUGCUCCGUUAGAGGCUUAAGAGAUACUUUUAGAUGUGGUCUCAAUAUGUCGCAAAAUACAAGAGCGCGACUACUCGACCACCAUAAAGUAAAUCGGGUGGAACCGCGUGAGUACAAACUCUCGUCCCGUUG